UACGGGGGGGGCAAGCGUUGUUCGGAAUUACUGGGCGUAAAGGGCUCGUAGGUGGCCAAUUAAGUCAGACGUGAAAUCCCCAGGCUCAACUUGGGAACUGCGUCUGAUACUGGUUGGCUUGAAUUCGGGAGAGGGAUGCAGAAUUCCAGGUGUAGCGGUGAAAUGCGUAGAUAUCAGGAGGAACACCGGUGGCGAAGGCGGUUCUCUGGGCAUUACCUGACGCUGAGGAGCGAAAGUGUGGGGAGCGAACAGG
rnacentral:rRNA from 1 species